GCGAAUUUUUCUAUGCCACAGCAGCCUUUCGAGACAGGCUCGCCGACCGGAGGUGCCUCAGCUUCCGUUGGGUACAACGGGCGCGAGCGCCGCGCGGGGGAAGGGGACCCUCAACGACGGCCUGGAAGGCUGCGCCAUGGCCGGAGGGAGGAGCGACCGCGGCGCGCGCGCUUCAGCCAGCGCCGGCCAGAGGCCGCCAUCAUGCCUUCUGCAAGUGAGGCCUUGGUCGCAGGCGCUGCGUCAGAUGCAGGUGGGCGUUGCUAUGGAGGAACGGCCGGGGGCCUCGUCAUCCGCUGAGAAGCGGCCGCGCCGUCACGGCCCGUCGCGCUCACGCAGUCUGCAGCCGUAGCGCGGACGGAGAGGGCCGACGUGCUUCUUGUCGGCCGUAGGCCGCUCGUGCCAUUCAAAAUCGACAGCGUCGAUCCAUUAAGAGGUAAGAACAUCCCGAAUUGUAGAAGACUACCUGCGCGCUUACAGUUCUUGUUUGGAUUUUCAAUCCAUUGAUCAAGGUUGCCUUUUCCAUUCGUCUUUUCCUCCGUUGAUGUCUUUCCGAUGGAAGGUUGCCAACAUUGUCCUGAUUCCAUCCCCACAUGCUCGGAUGAAGCAAUUCUCAACGGCGGUUGCCGGUUGACUCGUCACAGGCCACAGCGAUUAGCGCUAAUUAGCCUGAUCGUGUAGUGACGCCGGCCGCUCGGAAGCCACGCCGCCGGGGCAAGCCAAGGCCGCUCGCCGUUGUUGUUCGAGGGCCGUAGUCGGGGAGGCACCGGGUUCCGCGGGCAGGCGUUUCAGGCGUACAUAACCGCUGCCUGGGAUGGCCUAUUUCUCUCAUCGAAGAGCAAAGGGCUGAUAACGUGUUAAGAGGAAAAUGAAUCAACUCACUCCUUUACUAGAUGGCAUCUGCUAUUUAUACAAGGGAAAGGAUAUCAUUGGAAAA